rnacentral:rRNA from 1 species
GUCCACGCCGUAAACGAUGCACACUAGACGUCGGAGGUUCUGACACUGCCGGCGUUGGCGUAAAAACAUUAAGUGUGCCGCCUGGGGAGUACGGCCGCAAGGCUAAAACUCAAAAGGAAUUGACGGGGGCUCACACAAGCGGUGGAGCAUGUGGCUUAAUUCGAAGCAACGCGAAGAACCUUACCCGGGUUUGACAUGCUUGGAUGCCUCCUGGGGAUAACUCAGGUUGGCUGCCCGCAAGGGUGAAACUUGCACAGGUGUUGCAUGGCUGUCGU